ACGAUCGUGCGACGAUCGUUAGGUAAGUGACUUACCUACCGACCGAUUCAUUUUCAACUUUUCAUCCUCGAGAUGGCAGCAGUCCUUGCUUCUAUCAGCCCGAGUAACUGACCCUGAUGAUGGAAUACUCGAUGAAUCGCGCUUGCAUGAAAUAUCCAUCGAACGCGCGCGAGAUCGGUUAAUUAGGUUCAGUUGGAAAUUCAUGAAAUUCCUAAUUAUCGGCUGGACGAUACAUCCGCGCGAGAUGUACCCGUUUCCGCGUAACUCGACGCUCAAACACUGGCGAUUACGUUAAAAACAACCUUUGUCUCGCUUCAAACGAUCGUUCCAAACAACUUGGUUUCAAGUUUCAGUCAGACGUACGUACACUUGCCCAUACCAGCCAAUUUCCUUCCACUUAACCGAGCGGAUUGAGCAAAACUUGGCUGGCGCUGCGGACAGCUACGUACGCGGCACAGAGCCACAAAGGAAAGGACCGAGCUCUGCCGUCUCUUUGUUCCAACAAGUCCUGAUAAUUGUACAGUCGUAUCUUUGGUCCUUCUCCUUCUGAUGAUAAAAUCGGGAAUUGUUGCUGCAUCUAUACAGGGGUCCGGCCAAACUUUAGUACCUUGAAUGUGUCGUACAUGGAUAAGCGAUAUGGUUGUAUUUUGUUAAGUAUUUUAUUGUACACGCUUACUGAACACGAUGGUACGCAAGCGUUUCAAAGAAGAGCGUUCAGAGUGCUGGGAUGGAGAAAUUUUCCGACGAGUAACGUUUUGAAAAACGUUGGAAUAUGCGAAUCGCUCGUUGAAUCAGGCUUGUAAAUAAGUCAAAGAAAUUGCAAACGUAUUCCCGUAAACGUGAGCAAAUGAUAAGUUUGAGGCAUCUUGCUAUUUUGUCGACUGUCCUCUCGUAUUAAACGGCAGAUCUCUUCUCAUAGGAGAUCAACAAGGUAAAAAAGAAAGCGAGGGAAUCGAGGAAACGUUCUCGCAAACGAAUCUAGAUAAUCCCGGAGCUGAGAAGCUCGGGACAAAUAGACGAAAGAACACGUAUCGUUGGACAUUAAGCGUUACGUUUAAUAAGACAAUAUAUAAGAAGCUCUAAAAGCGAAUUCACAGUCCCAUUUAUAGCGUGCAAUGCACAUUCGCAAAAUGACAAAUUCGUCGGGUUUUGCUUUGGCGUUUAUGGCAACGAUUGAACAAAGAACGACGGGUAUCUACCCUCGGCGUCGCAGUCACGCAGAUCAGAGCUUUGGAAGGGAGUCGUAGAACCCAGGCAAUUGAGAUCCACACCAUGCGGAUGAGGGUUCAAUUUAUGGCACUCCGAAGCGUUGACGACUGCUUUUCCUUUCCAUGGCCGAAAGUGACGAAGGGCCAGACGGUCGUCCCGGAUGAUCGAACUUGGCCUUCUCUUACAAAUAUUUUGUAGCUUUCAAGAUGCACUUCUGCAUGUAUCGUUGUCUUAUACGGAAAGAGUAGAUUUAAAUAAUAUCCAAUUUGUACAAUGUUAAAUAGAUAUAAAUCGAUGGAUGUAAAUAAAUAAUGAUA